rnacentral:rRNA from 1 species
UACAGAGGUGGCGAGCGUUAUUCGGAAUUAUUGGGCGUAAAGGGCGCGUAGGCGGCUUGACAAGUCCCGGGUGAAAUCCCUCGGCUCAACCGAGGAACUGCCUUGGAAACUGUCUGGCUUGAGGCCGGGAGAGGGUAGUGGAAUUCCCAGUGUAGCGGUGAAAUGCGUAGAUACUGGGAGGAACACCGGUGGCGAAGGCGGCUACCUGGACCGGUUCUGACGCUGAGGCGCGAAAGCGUGGGGAGCAAACGGG